GAUGAACGCUGGCGGCGUGCCUAAUACAUGCAAGUCGAGCGAACAGACGAGGAGCUUGCUCCUCUGACGUUAGCGGCGGACGGGUGAGUAACACGUGGAUAACCUACCUAUAAGACUGGGAUAACUUCGGGAAACCGGAGCUAAUACCGGAUAAUAUAUUGAACCGCAUGGUUCAAUAGUGAAAGACGGUUUUGCUGUCACUUAUAGAUGGAUCCGCGCCGCAUUAGCUAGUUGGUAAGGUAACGGCUUGCCAAGGCAACGAUGCGUAGCCGACCUGAGAGGGUGAUCGGCCACACUGGAACUGAGACACGGUCCAGACUCCUACGGGAGGCAGCAGUAGGGAAUCUUCCGCAGUGGGCGAAAGCCUGACGGAGCAACGCCGCGUGAGUGAUGAAGGUCUUCGGAUCGUAAAACUCUGUUAUUAGGGAAGAACAAAUGUGUAAGUAACUAUGCACGUCUUGACGGUACCUAAUCAGAAAGCCACGGCUAACUACGUG
rnacentral:rRNA from 1 species